rnacentral:rRNA from 1 species
CAGUAGCCGCGGUAAUACGAAGGUCCCGAGCGUUGUUCGGAAUCACUGGGCGUAAAGGGAGCGUAGGCGGCGUGGUAAGUCAGAUGUGAAAUCCCGGGGCUCAACCCCGGAACUGCAUCCGAUACUGCCGUGCUAGAGGAUUGGAGAGGUAGCUGGAAUUCUUGGUGUAGCAGUGAAAUGCGUGGAGAUCAAGAGGAACACUCGUGGCGAAAGCGAGCUACUGGACAAUAUCUGACGCUGAGGCUCGAAGGCCAGGGUAGCGAGAGGGAUUAGAUACCCCUGUAGUCCCUGUCUCUUAUAC